UGGGUGGUUAGUAAGUUUCUUCGAAAUCAAUGCCCACUUCCCGUCUCACCGACACAGGCGGGUGUUUUCAGUGUGACGUCAGGACAUCUGCAGCUGUUUUUCUGGCAGAAAACCAGAAACGUUCAAUGUCAACGUUUUCUUCAAGCGACUGGGUUGCACGGAGACUGGGGAGCUUUCGCUGGGUGGAUGUCUCUUAAUGGGAGAAUUGUGUGGUACAAUCCAGUACCUACUGGUGCCACCCCAGGGCCCACCCUGCAUGCAGUCGCCCGCAUCAGCAGCCUGAGUUUGUGUUGUGGUUCAUGGAGGAAAAUCACACUGCAGUCCGAAUAAAGAGGAUUGAGUGCAUUUACACUGGUGCUGCACUAAAAUACAAUUCUGAGUACUUGUACUUAAGUAUUUCCAUUUUAUGCUACAUAGUACUUCUUGAUACUUAAGGUGGUAUUUUAAGGUGGUCUGUCACAUGAGUCUAAGGUCAAAGUCAAACUUCACAGACUCUCAUCAGGUCAUAAGACUUCAAUCAAAAUUGUAUACUAUUGUCAGCUGUUGGUACAUGUCAGUCAGUGCACAUGAGUGCAGUGACUGUGGGAUUAAACCACUAAUUUGACUUAUCUAACAUCAUGCACCUGCUUUUUUCUUUUGCAUUCAGCUGCAUUUACAUUGCACACACUUAGCUGACUGUGUGUCAUGUAUAUAUAGAAAAUCAUUGUGACUAGAAAUGUUCCUCUCUGUUGCUUCUCUCACCACACCCCACAGUGAUUUCAUGUCAUAGUGGUGUUUACUGAAAUGAAACCUGUGACUUUUAGAGGACAGAUUCUGCACUGAUGACAAUGAACUGCCUCUAACAUUUCUUAGUUGUUAGAUUUUUCAUAUUUAAUUUAAUCAACCUUUUAAAAGCUUAACUACAAGGAAAUCUGGUGGGGAAAUAGUGAAUCCUUUAUUGAUUUGGUUGCCUUAGAAGUUGUCAAAUGUACACAUACUUUAACAGAAUCAGAAAAAAUCUCCACCAUAUGUAAUUUGUAAUUGUUGAACUCCAGGUUGCAAAAACUCAUAAAUUCCCAGACAAUCAGCACAUGUUAAUUAGCUUUAUAAGCUAAUUCUGGUACAGUAUGUCACAUGACAACAUUUAUGUUAGAUAUUGUACAUGGUUCCUACUGUACAUAAACAAAUAAGUAAGUAACUAAUCCAGUAUUCUCUAUGAUUUCUAGCAUAUAUAUUUCUUCCUUUUUGAGGAGCAGCUGGAAAGGUUUUAGCAUGUCUACAUUAGUUCAGUAUGCUUUCAGAAAUAUAGAAAAAAUAAUAGAGAAUAAUAAAAAUACCAAAAAAAUAAGCUUUUAAAAAAGAGUUCAGAAUGCUUGAAACUAACUAGUAGGCAGUUGUUGUUUUUUUCAUUAUUUUUUUCAUAAUUUGAUUUAUGAUUUAUCUAUUCCCCUGUUUUCACUCAUGUGCUCAUUUAGAAAGCACAGGUGUUCGAUAUCAUUAACUCAAGUCAUCUCAGCUGGAACCAAAUUAACACACGAUUCCCCGGGUGGAAACACUGAGAGUCAAAAUUACUCACACACUUCUCAGAACCUCAGGAUGGAUAGAUACAGUAAAAGGGCUGUGGGUCAGUUCACUUGUUUUGGAACAAUGGAUCCAUGAGGCAGAAUAAAUGUCAUUUCUUUCUUUAUGUACAAACUGUUUUUUUUUUUAUGUUGGUAAAUACAUGGACAUUAUUUUACUGUAUUCUACAUUCUUUAUCAGUUGCAUAUUUCAAUUUCAGUUUAUUUUACUACAGUACAUUGAGGAAUUAAACAUUUUGAAAAUGUACACAUGUGUUGUAUCUUUAUAUUGUGUUCAUCAUGUAAAUAGGUUGUUCUGUUGAAAAACCGCGAGCACCAUCAUUCAUUGCAGUAUGAGGUUUUUACAGUAGUGUUUUGAAUUGAUCUCACUAGUGUGAAACGGCUGUUCUGUAGUGUUUGUGUAUUUGAUGGCUUUUGUGUGAUGUCUGAAGGCAAAGUUUGGUUUCAAUGUAGGAUUACAUGGUGUUGAGUUGAGAGUUUGGUUUGUGAAGAUGAGUGUACAGUUAUUCACGUGUGUUUGGAGUUUUGGGAAAUACAGUAUAAUUUCAAGAAAUGUGUCUUAGCAAAAAACUGUAAUAAC